GCCUGACUGGCUCAGUCUAUAGAGCGUGCGACUCAUGAUCUCAGGGUUGUGAGUUCGAGCCCCACUAUGGGCA
rnacentral:tRNA from 1 species